CCGUAGGGCGGCAGCAGUGGGGGAUAUUGCACAAUGGGGGCAACCCUGAUGCAGCGACGCCGCGUGAGCGAUGGAGUACUUCGGUAUGUAAAGCUCUGUCAGCAGGGAAGAGAAUGACGGUACCUGACCAAGAAGCCCCGGCAAAAUACGUGCCAGCAGCCGCGGUAAUACGUAUGGGGCAAGCGUUAUCCGGAUUUACUGGGUGUAAAGGGAGCGUAGGCGGCAGGGCAAGCCUGAUGGGAAAGCCCGGGGCUCAACCCCGGGACUGCAGUGGGAACUGCCCCGCUCGAGUGCCGGAGGGGCAGGCGGAAUUCCUAGUGUAGCGGUGAAAUGCGUAGAUAUUAGGAGGAACACCAGUGGCGAAGGCGGCCUGCUGGACGGUGUACUGACGCUGAGGCUCGAAAGCGUGGGGAGCAAACAGGAUUAGAUACCCCUGUAGUC
rnacentral:rRNA from 1 species